rnacentral:rRNA from 1 species
CCUACGGGCGGCAGCAGUAGGGAAUAUUGCACAAUGGGGGAAACCCUGAUGCAGCGACGCCGCGUGAGUGAAGAAGUAUUUCGGUACGUAAAGCCCUAUCAGCAGGGAAGAAAAUGACGGUAUCUGACUAAGAAGCCCCGGCUAACUACGUGCCAGCAGCCGCGGUAAUACGUAGGGGGCAAGCGUUAUCCGGAUUUACUGGGUGUAAAGGGAGCGUAGGCGGGAGCGCAAGUCUGAAGUGAAAUCCCAUGGCUUAACCAUGGAACUGCUUUGGAAACUAUGCAGCUAGAGUGCAGGAGAGGUAAGUGGAAUUCCUGGUGUAGCGGUGAAAUGCGUAGAUAUUAGGAGGAACACUAGUGGCGAAGGCGACUUACUGGAACGUAACUGACGUUGAGGCUCGAAAGCGUGGGGAGCAAACAGGAUUAGAUACCCCGGUAGUC